rnacentral:rRNA from 1 species
GACUCCUAUAGGGCGAAAUUGAUUUAUCCGCCGCGAAUUCGCCCUUAGAGUUUGAUCAUGGCUCAGGAUGAACGCUAGCGACAGGCUUAACACAUGCAAGUCGAGGGGCAGCGGGGCGGCAGGCUUGCCUGCCGUUGCCGGCGACCGGCGCACGGGUGAGUAACACGUAUGCAACCUGCCCGUGGCAGGGGGAUAAGCGGGGGAAACCCCGUCUAAUACCGCGUAACGCGGCCUAGGGACAUCCCAAGGCCGCCAAAGGGAGCAAUCCCGGCCACGGAUGGGCAUGCGGCGCAUUAGCUAGUCGGCGGGGUAACGGCCCACCGAGGCGACGAUGCGUAGGGGUUCUGAGAGGAAGGCCCCCCACACUGGUACUGAGACACGGACCAAACUCCUACGGGAGGCAGCAGUGAGGAAUAUUGGUCAAUGGGCGCGAGCCUGAACCAGCCAAGUCGCGUGAGGGAGGACGGCCCUACGGGUUGUAAACCUCUUUUGCCGGGGAGCAACGGGCGCC